rnacentral:rRNA from 1 species
AUUGAACGCUAGCGGGAUGCCUUACACAUGCAAGUCGAACGAGUGGCGGACGGGUGAGUAAUAUAUCGGAACGUGCCCAGUAGCGGGGGAUAACUACUCGAAAGAGAGGCUAAUACCGCAUACUAUCGGAGUGGCCGAUAUCGGAUUAGCUGGUUGGUGGGGUAAAGGCUCACCAAGGCAACGAUCCGUAGCCGGUUUGGGAGGGCGACGAGCCACACUGGGACGAGGACACGGCCCAAACUCCUCCGGAGGGAGGCCUGGGGGAAUUUUUGACAAGGGGGGAAACCCGGAUCCGGCCAGCCCGGGUGUAUGAGAAGGCCUUCGGGUUUUAAAAUACUUUUGGCAGGGAAGCGGUAUCUGCAGAAAAAGCACCGGCUAACUACGUGCCAGCAGCCGCGGUAAUUC